rnacentral:sRNA from 1 species
UUAGCUCAUACAUCUGUCUGCUCCCAAAUAUGUCCUUUUAUAACAUCUGCCCAGAGUUAAAGACCAGUUCCAAUGUAUAAAGUCAACUAUUCAAGUCUCUUGUUCUCUCUCUCUAUCUAUCUCUCUUAGCAUCUCUAUCAGUAGUCUCUCAUAUAGUUUCUCAUUAACUAAAAAAUAUAAAAUAAUAAUAAAGUAGGUGAGAGAUAGAAGAGAGAUUGAGAAUAGUUUUUCUGCAGAAAAACUUUAGAGUAAUGAUUGAGAGACUAUGUGUAUAUGUGUGUUUAUAAUUGGACAGAAGCUAAAUCAUAAUAAAAUAUCAUUU